rnacentral:rRNA from 1 species
UACGUAGGGUGCGAGCGUUGUCCGGAAUUAUUGGGCGUAAAGGGCGCGUAGGCGGUGCCACAAGUCACCUGUGAAAUCCCCGGGCUUAACUCGGGGCCUGCAGGCGAAACUGUGGUGCUGGAGUAUGGGAGAGGUGCGUGGAAUUCCUGGUGUAGCGGUGAAAUGCGCAGAUAUCAGGAAGAACACCCGUGGCGAAGGCGGCUCUCUGGGACGGUACUGACGCUGAGACGCGAAAGCGUGGGGAGCGAACAGG